rnacentral:misc_RNA from 1 species
GAAAGUGCGAAACGUAAUGUGAAUUGCAGAAUUCAGUGAAUCAUCGAAUCUUUGAACGCAUCUUGCGCUCCUUGGUAUUCCGAGGAGCAUGCCUGUUUGAGUGUCGUGAAAUCUCUCAACCUCAGUCCUUUUAUCGGGGCGAAGGGUUGGAUUUGGACGUCUGCAGUCUCUAAAAAGUCUGCUCGUCUUGAAAUGUAUUAGCGUUCCGCCGCGAGUUCGGUUUCGUACGACGGUGUGAUAAGUAACACUUUGACGCCGUCUGGACCGAGUCUUCAAGGACGCUUCUAAUCGUCUUAGGACAACUUCAUGUCAUCUGACCUCAAAUCAGGUAGGACUACCCGCUGAACUUAA